CCACUAUGGCCAAGAACAAAGAGCUGUCAAAGGACACCAGAAACCAAAUUGUAGACCUGCACCAGGCUGGGAAGACUGAAUCUGCAAUAGACUAAUCCUGCUGCUGAUGACGAUGACCUUGACAACAGCUUUAGUAGUACAGAGCCUGUAGAUAAAAGCUUUCAGCCUGGAAUAAGCUCAAACUCAACAUUAUCUGACUUUGAAAAAUGCCAGGACAGACAAAGGUGACUUGCAGUACAAACAAAUCUUCUGGAAGAGGUUGAAGCAGUGGGUGGUGAAGAAAGUGUACGAGAGGCUUAUCCACCUGGCUGUGGAGUGCAGAAAGGACCAGACGUUUGUCUACAAGGAGCCUGAGUCACAGCUCCCCAAACCCAACAUCGUCACAGCGCCAAAGCCUGUUAAACCAGCUGCCAUUACACAACAAAAGAAGUUCACCAGCCGAAGAACAUUCUGGAACCUGCAUGGAACAUUCAACCAGCUUCGACAUUCAGUUAGACUGAUGUUGUAGUAUAAUAUUGAAUGCCUAGCAUGCAUUGUGGUAUAGAUUUUGCUAGCUGUUAUAUGUAUGUCAUGGUGUUUUCUAUAAUAUUUUUACAAGUGCACUGACAAGUGACUAAAUGAUUCCAGAUGCAUCAGAAACUAAAACAUUUAUGACUUCAACUUCUGGAUCAAUUCAUUGUGAAAUUCAUGACAUGUAUUUGGUUAAACUGGCUUCGGUCUCACUGCUAAAACUAAGGACGUACGGAGAUGGUGUAUCAUUUAAACAUGUUUAA